AUGGUGACGCCGAUGGCGCUAGAGGCGGAGAAAGGGGCGGCCACCGCCUUCUCCAACGUCGUGCUGGGAAGACUCAUGAAGGUGUUGGAGAACAAGUACCAGCUGUGGAGCGGCAUCCAGACUGAAAUCUCGUCUCUGCACGAAGAUCUUAAACUCCUGGCGGCAGCCGUAGAUGACCACCAGGUCAGUGCUGCGGCUUCUAGCACGGCCGUCGCGAGGGUGUACGGCGAGCAGAUCCGCGAGCUGACCCACGAUAUCGAAGACUGCGUGGAGCGCUUCCUGCACCGCAUCACCUGCAAGCCCGGGGCCUCGCGGGCUCGCCGCACAGCUCACGCCUUCAGGACGCUCCGCCGCCGUCUCCUGUUCGCCGACAAGAUCAAGAAGUUCCGGAGGCGCGUGGCAGAUGCACGCAAGCGGGCAUUCAACGCCGACGCCACCGCCGCCGCUGCUGCAGCAAUUUCCCCUUAUAGCGGUGGUGCCCAGCCGUCCAACAACCAGGGGUACGUGCAGGAUUGCCGCCCCGUGGGCAUCGCAAAGGCCAUCAUGGAGCUUCGUGCUCUGCUCGGCAUCGAACCAAACCAAGGCCGAGCUGCGGUUCAGGCUCAGCUGCGGGUGGUCGCCGUGGUGGGAUUUGGUGGUUCGGGCAAGACGACCCUCGGAAGGGCAGUCUACAGCAUAGUCCAAAGAGCACUCCCUUGUGCUUGGGUUGACGGCCACUUGCUGGAUCGUACGGACUCUAAUGGCAUCGUCAAACAUAUCCAAGAGAACCUUCGUUCGGAGGAAGGGCGUUCCGCGACAUCUCUCCACCAGGACCAGGACAGCAGAUAUUUAAUCGUUAUUGAUGGCAUUAAGAGGAAGCACCAGAUGCACUGGGAUACACUGAGGAAUGCCUUCAGGAAUAAUGGGAGAAUAAUUUUGACAACGAACAAUUGGUCAGUAGCUAAUAGAUGCUGCAAUCAUCCCAGGGAAGAAGAUAAAUAUACCUUUGGUCGUGUGUACAACAUGAGAAGUCUUGGAGAAGAAGAUUCAAGGAAACUAGCUCUGCUUGGAAGAGUUACACCUGAGUUACUGAUGGGUUCAAAAGAACUCCUGGAGAAAUGUGGUGGUCUGCCUCUAGCUCUUUAUAGUGUGGCCUGCCAAUUGAGCUCUGAAAUGGAAACUACGGGGGAAUUGUGCAGAAUAUUGUGCAGUGACCUGGGUACAUAUCUGGAACGCGAAGACGACGAGCCUAACUUUGCAAGGCUUCGAGGUGUGCUAAGGGAAAAUUACACCAGUCUGUCUGAUUACAUUGUCAGGACCUGCUUGUUGUAUCUAGGUAUAUUCCCAAUUGAUCGUCCCCUCAAGAAGAAUGUCAUAAUCAGGCGAUGGUUGGCUGAAGGAUAUGCACGCCAUUAUGAAGGGAGGCACCAAAGUGUAGCUGAUAAGAAUUUCAAGACAUUUACCCACCAGAGUAUUAUUUUGCCUGCUGUUCCAAUCAGCAAUUUCAUAGAGAAGGCGUGCAAAAUUCAUGGUAUCAUGCACACCUUCAUCUUGCACAAGUCCAUAUCCAAGAAGUUCAUCAUGCCCUUUGGUACUCAGCACAAUAAAGUCCGCCACCUAUUUAUCCAUAACAGCCGCUAUGGAAAUUACGAAAUCAGCCCAGACAUGGAUUUAUCACGGGCCCGAUCUCUGACAGUCGUAGGGAAAGCAGGUGGUGCUAUUUCCAAGUUCAACAAGUACAAACUUGCAAGAGUGUUGGACCUGGAAGGGUGCAUUGAUGUGGAAGAUUUUCAUGUUAAAGAGAUAUGUAAGCUAUGGAAUCUGAGAUAUCUAAGCCUCGGGCCCGAUAUCACAGAGAUACCCAAGGAAAUUGCUCAACUUAAAUUGCUGGAGACACUUGAUGUAAGCAAGACAAGGGUGAAUGUGCUCCCAGUGGAGGCUAUUGGACUACCCUGUUUGAUUCAUCUGAUUGGAAAGUUUAAGCUUCAAGACCCAGUCAAGACAGAGAGGCUGCCACAAAAAUGUAUGCUGGAGACCCUUGCGGGGAUUGUUGCCGACAAGGGUCGGGGAUUUUCGCAACUUAUGGACCAUACGAAAAAGUUAAAGAAGGUCAAGGUAUGGUGUGAGUGUGAGGAAACUGAACAAGGUCAGAUCGACAUGAAUAAUCAACUUGCCGAGGCCAUCCAAAAGUACAUUGAAACUCCUAUGGAUGAGGACAAUGUGGAAAACUAUCGCUCCCUGUCCCUUUACUUCCAACGAUUGCCCCAAGGUUCCAUGACUGCUCUAGAACAACUAUGUCAACGCCACAGUUCGAGGAAAGGAUAUUUAUUUUAUCUCAGCUCGCUCAAGCUACAUGGCAACUCCAACCCAACUACAUUGCCUAAGUUUGUUGCCAUGUUUCAUGAUCUAGCUAAGCUAAGCAUUUCGACCACCAUGUCUGUGACACAACAUCUUCUGUCAGUACUUGGCGAGAUGCAUUUAAUGAAGUAUCUCAAGCUGGCUGCCAACAGCAUCGACGACGACGACGGUUUCGUCAUCCAAAAAGGGAAGUUCGGGAGCCUGAAGCGCCUAUGUCUUGUGUUAAAAGUUGUGGGACCGUCUGUCCUAACAAUCAAAGACAGAGGUGCGCAGGCCAUUAGCUCGCUCCAACUGAUCUGCAAGGAUCUAGUUGGUCUCUCUGGCGUCGAAAUCAGCUACCUCCCUAACCUGAAGGAAAUUGUCCUUCACCCUGAUGUGGGUGAAGAAACAAGGCAAGCGUGGAAAGCGGAGGCAAGGAACCACCGUAACAUGCCGCAUGUGUUGUCUAUCCCAGGUGAUCACGUCCGAGAGGAAACAGCUGCAGUUGAGGAGGAACCAGCACUUGAGGAUCCCAUGGAGGUGGAGCCAGAGAGUAACUUCCCUAAUUCUAUUGGGCUCCACGUUAAUGAAGCACAACAAGGCUGCGACAAGGAAGCUUUGGUGCUGGCCCCCGUGCAACCACGAAAGGCGAACAAGAGGAAGCGUGCUCAAGUACGUGCCUGCCAAGGUCCUAAAAUCAGCCAACACACAUGA
rnacentral:rRNA from 1 species